rfam:Gasterosteus aculeatus cont1.016725, whole genome shotgun sequence.
GUCAGGAUGGCCGAGUGGUCUAAGCGCUGCGUUAAGUUCGCAGUCUCCCCCGGAGGCGUGGGGUUCAAAUCCCACUUCUGACA